AGAGUUUGAUCCUGGCUCAGGAUGAACGCUAGCGGCAGGCUUAAUACAUGCAAGUCGUGGGGCAGCAUGACUGUAGCAAUACAGUUGAUGGCGACCGGCAAACGGGUGUGGAACACGUACACAACCUUCCUUUAAGUGGGGAAUAGCCCGGGGAAACCCGGAUUAAUACCCCGUAACAUAGUGAAUAGGCAUCUUAUUACUAUUAUAGCAGCAAUGCGCUUAAUGAUGGGUGUGCGCCUGAUUAGGCAGUUGGCGGGGUAACGGCCCACCAAACCUACGAUCAGUAACUGGUGUGAGAGCACGACCAGUCACACGGGCACUGAGACACGGGCCCGACUCCUACGGGAGGCAGCAGUAAGGAAUAUUGGUCAAUGGACGCAAGUCUGAACCAGCCAUGCCGCGUGGAGGAUGAAGGUCCUCUGGAUUGUAAACUUCUUUUAUCUGGGAAGAAACCCACGGUUUCCACUGUGGUUGACGGUACCAGAUGAAUAAGCACCGGCUAACUCCGUGCCAGCAGCCGCGGUAAUACGGAGGGUGCAAGCGUUAUCCGGAUUCACUGGGUUUAAAGGGUGCGUAGGUGGGCAGGUAAGUCAGUGGUG
rnacentral:rRNA from 1 species